rnacentral:rRNA from 1 species
GAUGAACGCUGGCGGCGUGCCUAAUACAUGCAAGUAGAACGCUGAAGGAAGGAGCUUGCUCUUUCCGGAUGAGUUGCGAACGGGUGAGUAGCGCGUAGGUAACCUGCCUGGUAGCGGGGGAUAACUAUUGGAAACGAUAGCUAAUACCGCAUAACAGUAGAUGUUGCAUGAUAUCUACUUAAAAGGUGCAAUUGCACCACUACCAGAUGGACCUGCGUUGUAUUAGCUAGUUGGUGAGGUAACGGCUCACCAAGGCGACGAUACAUAGCCGACCUGAGAGGGUGAUCAGCCACACUGAGACUGAGACACGGCCCAGACUCCUACGGGAGGCAGCAGGAGGGAAACUUCGGCAAGGGGCGGAAGUCUGGCCGAGCAACGCCGCGUGAGUGAAGAAGGUUUUCGGAUCGUAAAGCUCUGUUGUAAGAGAAGAACGAGUGUGAGAGUGGAAAGUUCACACUGUGACGGUAUCUUACCAGAAAGGGACGGCUAACUACGUG